AGCCGCGGUAAUUCCAGCUCCAAUAGCGUAUAUUAACAUUGUUGUCGUUAAAAAGCUCGUAGUCGAACUUCGGGUCCUGUAGGCCGGUCCGCCUUCUUGGUGUGUACUUGCUCUAUGGGACCUUACCUCCUGGUGAACGGCGAUGUCCUUUACUGGGUGUCGUCGCAAACCAGGACGUUUACUUUGAAAAAAUUAGAGUGUUCAAAGCAGGCCUUUGCCCGAAUACAUUAGCAUGGAAUAAUAGAAUAGGACGCGCGUUCCCAUUUUGUUGGUUUCUGAGAUCGCCGUAAUGAUUAAUAGGGAUAGUUGGGGGCAUUUGUAUUCCGACGUCAGAGGUGAAAUUCUUGGAUUGCCGGAAGACAAACUACUGCGAAAGCAUUUGCCAAGGAUGUUUUCAUUGAUCAAGAACGAAGGAAGGGGGAUCGAAAACGAUUAGAUACCGUUGUAGUCUCUUCUGUAAACUAUGCCAAUUGGGGAUCGGUACAGGAUUUUUAAUGACUGUAUCGGCACCCGAAGAGAAAUCUUUAAAUGAGGUUCGGGGGGGAGUAUGGUCGCAAGGCUGAAACUUAAAG
rnacentral:rRNA from 1 species